AUUCCUCAAUAAAAGAACAAGUGGUAUCGGAUGUUCUGGAUAGGUUAAGCAAGACACGACACCUUCAUUGUUGGAGAAUAUAAAUGGACAUUGUGUUAAGAAUCGUGGAAUAAUAGGACAACCUCAAGUUAAUAAAAUGGAAUAUGAAGUAAAGGAGUACGUCCCCACAAACGGCAAUGAAUUACCAAGGGCAAAGGAAUACCAAUUUAAGGAGUACACGACAAAAGCCAAGGAUUACAAACUACGUGACCCGCCUGUAUUACCACUGGAAUACAAGACUGCUGACAGAAUGGAAACUCAACCAGUAGCGAGUACAUAUAAUGAAUAUGUGCCACCAUGGACGAGGUUUAAAAAUAAAUUUACAAAGAAAAAUAAAACAACUAAAACAGUUGAGAAAAUGAAGCCGUCUCCUAUUUUACCAGGUGUUUCAUCUGUUGGUUCUGUGAAAAGAACGCUGGACACGUUUUCUACUGGAUCAAGACUGUGAUAUCAAUUUGAUACAUUCUCUACUGGAUCAAGACUGUGAUAUCAAUUUGAUACAUUCUCUACUGGAUCAAGACUGUGAUAUCAAUUUGAUACAUUCUCUACUGGGUCAAGACUGUCAUAUUUACUUGUACUUCGGUACCAACAGGACUACUUCACAAAUAUAAAAUCACGCAUAAUGUAAUAAUACAAUUUAAAGUUACAUAUUUGCUGGAAUUGUUCAGUUCGUAACAAGAAGGGCGUGGGCUUGGAUCAAUACAUUUUUGAAUCAGCACUUUAUGAAAUCGUUGAAAUAAGUCUCUACCAACUUGACAAAUAUGGCAUUUUUUUUAAUUAAAACUAUAUUGAAUCGAUGUAUUUCUAUUAUCAACUUGAGUUGAUCCGAUGUUCCUUCCCAAAAAUUCGUGAAUAGAGACCAAACAAUUAACAUUAAAGUC